GGGAAACACCUUGACAAUAUCAGUGAACUCCAUGAAGAAAUUAGGGCACAUCUUGAAAAUAUUAGUGAACUGAAUGAAAAAAUUAGUAAGUUAUAUUUUCUCAUUUCUGUGUGGAUUGCAUCUUCUCAUGACAUUGUCCAUCUACUUUUCUCCCCAGACAGGAACUGCAGGCUGAAUUCAAAC